rnacentral:rRNA from 1 species
AGGACUAACGCUGGCGGCGUGCCUAACACAUGCAAGUCGAACGAAGUAGCAAUACUUAGUGGCAGACGGGUGAGUAACACGUAGUCAACCUGCCCUUCAAUGGGGGAUAACUAGCCGAAAGGUUAGCUAAUACCGCAUACGAUCUCUGAGUGGCAUCACUCGGCGAUGAAAGGAGUAAUCCGUUGAAGGAGGGGACUGCGUCCCAUUAGUUAGUUGGUGGGGUAAUGGCCUACCAAGACUCCGAUGGGUAGCUGGCUUGAGAGAGCGACCAGCCACACUGGAACUGAGACACGGUCCAGACUCCUACGGAGGCAGCAGUGAGGAAUUUUCCGCAAUGGGGGAAACCCUGACGGAGCGACGCCGCGUGUGGGAAGAAGGCCUUCGGGUCGUAAACCACUGUCGAAGGGGACGAUAUUGACGGUACCCCUGGAGGAAGCCCGGCUAACUACGCGCCAGCAGCCGC